CAUUAAGAAGCUAUGCAGCAUUAACCUUUUAAGUUAAAGAUUGAGAGUACUCGAACCUCUCCUUAAUGA
rnacentral:tRNA from 1 species